rnacentral:lncRNA from 1 species
AAUUAAUUAGCCACAGAUUAUCAAAUUUUUAUCUCACAAAUAACUAAAUAGAUGGUCACAUAUGUCAAAUGGUGGGUCACAUACCAUCGUUACCAACACUAUCGCACCGCCACUGUCACAACAACCACUUGCAACCACCUCACCCCGUUAUCACCAUCACCACCACCGCUACCACCAAUGCCACAACAUCACCACCAACAAAAUCGCCACCAUCAACACCACCCACAUUACCACUGUCAACACGAGCACCUCCACCGUCGCUAGAAACCAGCAUGACCAUGACCACCACACACAUCAACAAUACCCAACCUACCACCUCACCAACAUAACCAACAUUCCACCGCCAACAUGACCACCUUCGGAAACCAUCAUAGCCACAAAGACCAUAACCACACCCAAAAACCACCACCAAAAACAUACAACAAUACACUACUCCACAACCUCACUAAUAUCACCCCACAUCAGCUACACAAGCAUAAGCAGUAAAAAGGGUCAGAACCAGUAGCAAUCGCACUCGUCUUCGGCCACAGUAGCGACAUCGUCGCUCACGAAAUGUUGCAGUGCCGCCAACCACGCGCUCACUAGAGAAGAGGCGGAUCUGCAAAUAGCAUGGAAGAGGAGAGAGUAAAGAGAAAGAGAUAUCGGGCGGAGAAAAGAUGGUUUUGCAGUCACCAUUCGCACUAGUCGGCACCCGGAGACGCUACUGAGAACUCUCAACAGUCCCCGAUGUCAAUAGUGUCGAUCGACGCAUCCUCCUUCGUCACUGGUUGUGGAGUUUGACUGGAUCAUCGACGUCGAAGAGAGAAGGGAGAGACGGUGAUAGUGAAAUGUUUUAUCGCUGGCGUCAAAGAGAGAAGAGAGAGACGGGUGAUGGUGAAAUGUUUUGCAAUGGGUAGGUGAAAUGAAUGGGAUCUGGAAUUGAAUUGGGCGGAGAUAUUAUAUUAGACCUGGUUUUUG